CGUGACCCCAGGUCAGGUAGGGUUAGUUGUUGAGUUUAA
rnacentral:rRNA from 1 species